rnacentral:rRNA from 1 species
CGGCGGUCGGGUGAGUAACGCGUGGGUAACCUGCCUCAUACAGGGGGAUAACAGUUAGAAAUGGCUGCUAAUACCGCAUAAGACCACAGUACUGCAUGGUACAGUGGUAAAAACUCCGGUGGUAUGAGAUGGACCCGCGUCUGAUUAGGUAGUUGGUGAGGUAACGGCCCACCAAGCCGACGAUCAGUAGCCGACCUGAGAGGGUGACCGGCCACAUUGGGACUGAGACACGGUCCAA